GCGGGACAUAAAACCCAGACGGACCUGUUUCCUCGUUCACUUCCUUCUCUGCUCUGUUCGAGGUGGCGUAAGAGCCAGAAACAACUUACUGCAAAGGUGUGAAGACUGGUGAACACCACAUAAGGUGUACCUAUGCCAAUCAAAGAUGACUGACAAGAAUAAAGGACUUUAGCAGGUUGGUCUACCCUGCCCUCUCACUAAUCUCAAAGCAGCUGCAAAGUGCAGAAGUGGGGGUUUGAACAAGAAGUUGGGGAAAGGAUGCCCCAUGGAUAUCUCAACAUAGCCAUGAGUGGAUUCUUGAAGAGGAAGGCAUCCAUUGAAGCCUCAUGGCUUUUGAAUAAGCUAGUAAAUGACCGGUUUUCUGCCUAGUGACUGCAUCAACAGCAUGCUGAGGCCUUCUCAUCAAAGGUACCUACUGGGUUAUGGAAGUUGCUCACUUUUCUCCAACAAAGGAGUUUGCCCAGGUACCUAGCUUUGGAAGAUGCUGCCAUCUUCUCCACAACAAAGGGCUGCCUUUGGAUGGAACUACCUAGAAACAAGCUGACUAGGUCCUAAUUUGAAUGUGUGAACUGAGGACAUGGUCAUUGCAAAAACAAAGCUCCAACAAUUGAGGUUUGAUGCUUUCGGACUGUGGGACAGCGCACACACCUGGGACUGCAGCAGGUGUGGCAGCAUGAAAUCUCUGGCUUGAUCUUGUUGGUUUGGUGAUGUGUCAGACUUGAGUGCGAGAACCAGACACCUGGGAGUGCUGCAGGAUGAAGUCAUCACAUGGCCUUGAUCUUAUGCUCACUGUGAUAUGUGUUGAAUUCAUCUGGAUCUGCUGCAUUGGGAUCUAUGAACUUGGGUGCCUUAUCCAUCAGCAGUGUUGAAAUGCCAACGGGAUUGCUGCAGUUCCUCUAGAGAUCAAGGGAUGCUCCAGAAAAUUAAACGUGAAUCUACCAACUGCUGCACGGUUGCAGUACAACAUGAUCUCAUUUAGUUAACUGCAAGGAUUGUUUCAAAUAAAGCUAUUAAAACUAA